rnacentral:rRNA from 1 species
GAUAAACGCUGGCGGCGCACAUAAGACAUGCAAGUCGAACGAACUUAAUUGAGAGCUUGCUCACAAAGCGGUUAGUGGCGGACUGGUGAGUAACACGUAAGCAACCUGCCUAUUAGAGGGGAAUAACAGCGAGAAAUCGUUGCUAAUACCGCAUAUGCUGUGAGUAUCGCAUGAUACAAGCAGGAAAGGAGCAAUCCGCUAAUAGAUGGGCUUGCGUCUGAUUAGUUAGUUGGUGGGGUAACGGCCUACCAAGACGAUGAUCAGUAGCCGGACUGAGAGGUUGAACGGCCACAUCGGGACUGAGAUACGGCCCAGACUCCUACGGGAGGCAGCAGUCGGGAAUAUUGCGCAAUGGAGGAAACUCUGACGCAGUGACGCCGCGUGCAGGAAGAAGGUUUUCGGAUUGUAAACUGCUUUUAACAGGAAAGAAAAAAUGACGGUACCU